ensembl:misc_RNA 7SK 7SK RNA
GAAUGUGAAGAAGAUCCAGCUGCAGUAUCCAUCUUCCCAUGGAUCACAAGGGUUGAAUCAGCUGAGGUGGCUGGCUAGGAGGGCAUCCCCACCCUUCCUCCCUCACUGCUGCACAGGCAUCCCUCCAGAAGCUGCACACUGGGUUGAAGAGGACAAACUUUCCCAAUAGAAAAGGACCAUUUCCUUGGUCAAAGGUAGGCAGGUAGCUGCACUCCUCUGCUACAACCUACAAACAAGCUCCCAAGUCAUGUGAUUCCAACAUCAGUUCAUUGAGAAACCAAAAUAAAGUUAAAUCUCCUAAGGACAAAUAUACUAUUU